CGGACGGUGUGCCGGGAAUGGAGUGGCCGAGUACAUCCAUGGCAACCAGUAAGGUGUUCGUUAGUGGCCUAGAUGGUAUGACCUUAGGUGAGGAGGUCUGCUGUGUGGAAAUCGCCUUCUUGGUCUGACUCUUGCUGCCAAGGUACCCCUUAUUACGGCUGUUUGCCUUUCUCUCAUCUCCGAUGCACUUUGAGUGAAUCCUUAACCUCAGCCUGAUAUAUGUUGAAAGGUUUUUUUUUUCAGCUCAUGGCAUGAGGGAAGGUUGCUGUCCAGACUCAUGGCCUCUCUUUCCAGCUGUUCCACUACGUUGGAGGAUUCCAUAAGGGAAUCACUCGUCUGGGAACGGAAGAGGUGCUCCACGUGCUGCAGGAGAGUGAACAGCUCAUCGCAUGGCCGUGCACAUUGGCAUUCCUCACAGAGCGAGAAGCUGAUGACCCUCUUCGCUAUGUAUCCUGCCAGGUGGUAGAGGACACAAGACUCGGUCUUUGUGAGGUCAGGUGGGUCUACCAGCUGCUCCACUCUCACAACCUCAGAAGCACUGCAGUUGCUGUUCUUGUUGUCCAAGAAGUCCGCCAAGUGGUCUGAUGCAUCAUCCAGAUCUUGCUGGACCAGCAGUAUCGUUGUUGUGGCCAUCACAGGUUUCAGUGGAGCGCCCCCCCCCCCCC